rnacentral:rRNA from 1 species
AUGGACGCAAGUCUGAUGGAGCAACGCCGCGUGAGUGAAGAAGGGUUUCGGCUCGUAAAGCUCUGUUGGUAGUGAAGAAAGAUAGAGGCAGUAACUGGCCUUUAUUUGACGGUAAUUACUUAGAAAGUCACGGCUAACUACGUGCCAGCAGCCGCGGUAAUACGUAGGUGGCAAGCGUUGUCCGGAUUUAUUGGGCGUAAAGCGAGUGCAGGCGGUUCAAUAAGUCUGAUGUGAAAGCCUUCGGCUCAACCGGAGAAUUGCACCAGAAACUGUUGAACUUGAGUGCAGAAGAGGAGAGUGGAACUCCAUGUGUAGCGGUGGAAUGCGUAGAUAUAUGGAAGAACACCAGUGGCGAAGGCGGCUCUCUGGUCUGCAACUGACGCUGAGGCUCGAAAGCAUGGGUGGCGAACAGGAUUAGAUACCCUGGUAGUCCAUGCCGUAAACGAUGAGUGCUAAGUGUUGGGAGGUU